rnacentral:lncRNA from 1 species
AUGGAGACACUGAUGCUUGAUCUACCCAGUUACCUCUGUGUUCAAUUACUGAUGGUCUGUCGCAACUUGACAGGCAACCAGCGAUAUACAGCAGAGCUGGAAAAUCCCAGGUGGUUUAUGGUUAAUGACAAAGGAGCAUCAGCAGCACUGAGUAAUGAGGUAUUUAAAGAAUGAUACAGCCUAAUUUUUGUUAAGCCACUGCACAGAUAAAUUACUUGCUUGGAUAGGUAGUUAUGUAUCGACCUUAAUGAUAAUUGUGCACAAAACAAAUUAAAAAAAAAUCCCAACAGAAAGUUUUCAGCACAACCCUGGCCAGCUUGCUUGAACCCAAAGCCAGCUUAAGAGAGCUGUGGAAUCAACUGUCUUGUAAUGUUUGCAAACUAAAAGAAAGUAGCACAUGAGCUUUGGCAAAGCACGGAAGUUGUAAUUCUGUGCGCAAGGUAUACAUUUGAAAAGGACAGAGGCAGUGUGUUUUGCUGAGCGAGGAGUCAGACUUCGGUCCCAGUCCUACAAAACACUGAUCAUCACCUAAGGCAAAUCCUUGGCUUUGCUUUCCUCCAAAUGUAACCAUGCCAUAGUUCGCAAGUUAUUAUAACACAGCCUUUCAUAUAGCUACUAAAGCUUAUCUCCUGAAUUUUAAGCGGUUUGUAUCUUAAAUUCCUUCACCUGAUCAUGUAAACUUUUGUGGGCAUAAAGAGGAUGCUAAUUAUCAAAAUGCGUUGAAAACAAGAAUAUUGUAUAUAAGGGAAAUAUUAUUACUGGAAAUGUUAAGCCAUCUCGAGACAUCGAGCACACCAAGAAUUGGCUUUGAUCUGCCUCAAAAAUCAGGAGGUUGUAACUUUCAAAGAAAACUUUCAUAAGAGAUAUCAGGGUAGAAAGGGCCAAGUUGUGUGUAUAAUUAUUAACGGGGGCCAGUUUGUUUUAUUGUAAGGCUUGCUCUGCCACCCUGAGCUAGGUUUCAACAUGGCCUGAAACUGCAUAAAUG